AAUUCCUUGUAACUGACUUUAUAUUUCCCUUCCUGGAAAUCACUGGCUGUGUUUUAGUAGCAGUUGGAACCUGUUUCUAUCCACUAGUCAUUGAAAGGCUUUCUAAUUAAUACAUGAGAUGUCUCUGACUUCCACAAAGAUGAAUUACUGCUUGGCUGUGUGUAUGGUGGCAUAAUGUAUGCUGACUCAGUAUGUUUUGGAGGAAAGAAUAAAGAUUUCCAAAAAAAUAGAUAAAACCAAAAACCUUAAACCUGUACUCCAGCUGAACACUUAAAAAAAAUUUCAAGAAAACCCAAGAAAGCUCAAGAUUCUUUCCUAUGAUGACUUUCACAUUAAAGUGACAGGACAAAGAAUUCCAGAAUAAGAAAGAUGUGGUCAUUUUUUUCUCCUCAAAAAAGAAUAGGAUUUUUUCCUUUUUUUUUCUUCAUGUCAUCAAAAUGGAUCGUUCUAAGGAUAUAUCCAUUUUUUUUUAAGAGACAUGAAUUAGCUCCUUAUAUAUUCUCUAGAAAGUCUACAAAAGUUUCUCAGGGUCUCUUAGGUCUUUAUCAUGUGUGAGUUACCUUCACUUCUAAAAUCAAGCUAUUUCUUCAUUGGCAAGUAGACUGCCUUCUGUUCCUUUUUCCUUCCUCCAUACCAUUUAUUCACAUUAGUGGAAAACAUUUAAAGCUAUUAAGCUGCAAAUAGUGGAGUAAUCCCUUUCCUCUAGGGGCACAUUAUUUUGGAGGGGAAAACGUCCAUUUUGCUCUUAGCAUUGCCCCUCCAAACAACAGAAGGAUUGUGAUUUGCUGUCAUCCCUCCAUUGGCAAAACAAAGAAGUCUUUCCUAUCACCAAGUGUCUCCUGUGUUUAUGUGCCAAUUAUGUUUUCACCAGUGAUGGCUCAAUGGA